ACAAUGAAGAGUUUGAUCCUGGCUCAGGAUGAACGCUAGCUACAGGCUUAACACAUGCAAGUCGAGGGGCAGCAUGGUCUUAGCUUGCUAAGGCCGAUGGCGACCGGCGCACGGGUGAGUAACACGUAUCCAACCUGCCGUCUACUCUUGGACAGCCUUCUGAAAGGAAGAUUAAUACAAGAUGGCAUCAUGAGUCCGCAUGUUCACAUGAUUAAAGGUAUUCCGGUAGACGAUGGGGAUGCGUUCCAUUAGAUAGUAGGCGGGGUAACGGCCCACCUAGUCUUCGAUGGAUAGGGGUUCUGAGAGGAAGGUCCCCCACAUUGGAACUGAGACACGGUCCAAACUCCUACGGGAGGCAGCAGUGAGGAAUAUUGGUCAAUGGGCGAGAGCCUGAACCAGCCAAGUAGCGUGAAGGAUGACUGCCCUAUGGGUUGUAAACUUCUUUUAUAAAGGAAUAAAGUCGGGUAUGCAUACCCGUUUGCAUGUACUUUAUGAAUAAGGAUCGGCUAACUCCGUGCCAGCAGCCGCGGUAAUACGGAGGAUCCGAGCGUUAUCCGGAUUUAUUGGGUUUAAAGGGAGCGUAGAUGGAUGUUUAAGUCAGUUGUGAAAGUUUGCGGCUCAACCGUAAAAUUGCAGUUGAUACUGGAUAUCUUGAGUGCAGUUGAGGCAGGCGGAAUUCGUGGUGUAGCGGUGAAAUGCUUAGAUAUCACGAAGAACUCCGAUUGCGAAGGCAGCCUGCUAAGCUGCAACUGACAUUGAGGCUCGAAAGUGUGGGUAUCAAACAGGAUUAGAUACCCUGGUAGUCCACACGGUAAACGAUGAAUACUCGCUGUUUGCGAUAUACUGCAAGCGGCCAAGCGAAAGCGUUAAGUAUUCCACCUGGGGAGUACGCCGGCAACGGUGAAACUCAAAGGAAUUGACGGGGGCCCGCACAAGCGGAGGAACAUGUGGUUUAAUUCGAUGAUACGCGAGGAACCUUACCCGGGCUUAAAUUGCAGAUGAAUUACGGUGAAAGCCGUAAGCCGCAAGGCAUCUGUGAAGGUGCUGCAUGGUUGUCGUCAGCUCGUGCCGUGAGGUGUCGGCUUAAGUGCCAUAACGAGCGCAACCCUUGUUGUCAGUUACUAACAGGUUCCGCUGAGGACUCUGACAAGACUGCCAUCGUAAGAUGUGAGGAAGGUGGGGAUGACGUCAAAUCAGCACGGCCCUUACGUCCGGGGCUACACACGUGUUACAAUGGGGGGUACAGAGGGCCGCUACCACGCGAGUGGAUGCCAAUCCCCAAAACCUCUCUCAGUUCGGACUGGAGUCUGCAACCCGACUCCACGAAGCUGGAUUCGCUAGUAAUCGCGCAUCAGCCACGGCGCGGUGAAUACGUUCCCGGGCCUUGUACACACCGCCCGUCAAGCCAUGGGAGCCGGGGGUACCUGAAGUGCGUAACCGCGAGGAGCGCCCUAGGGUAAAACUGGUGACUGGGGCUAAGUCGUAACAAGGUAGCCGUACCGGAAGGUGCGGCUGGAACACCUCCUUU
rnacentral:rRNA from 1 species